rnacentral:rRNA from 1 species
AUGGCCUCCACGGAAGGCGGCGGCGGCGGCGGAGGAGGAGGAGGAGCGGAGAGGGCGGAGGAUCCUCUCCUUGGCUCCGGCGAGGAAGUGCAAGGAGCGGCCCAGGAAGAGAGCAGGAGAAGCUCAGGCGAACUUGCCGAUGCGGAUUGCGGCAGCAGUGGUUCGGUAACUGAUGCCGCUGUACCGAGUGAAGAUACCAGUGAGGGGCAUAGCAGUGACAGCAGCAGCAGCCAGUGUGCCGGUUCUGAUGGAGGUGGCAAAGAGGUGCCUGAAAUGUUCUCCAAGAGCUGCAAUGAUGAGAACAGCUUGUGCACCGACCAGAGCUCUCCCCGCGCCGUGCUGGACAUAUCGGUGUCCGGCAGCGUCGACUCUGACGAGAGCUCCUCCGUCGAGCAGCCGGCGGAGCCCAGCCGCAGCGUGCAGCCGCUGCAGUGGAGGAAUUUGAUCAGUGGGCUGAUACUCAGCAGGAAGAAGCUGAUGGCCAGGGCGGUGACGUUCCCUCAGCGGUCCAAGAGCACGGGGCUUAAAAGGUACCUGGGGAGGAUGCGGAGGGGCAAGAACCAGAUGGACUGCAGCGCAAUCGCCCCGGAGAUCUUCCCUGAGAUCGAGAAGUGGAGGCCAUCAUGGAGGAGCUUCGACUACGACGAGCUCUGCGCUGCAACUGACAGAUUCAGUUCAGAUAAUUUGAUCGGAAAGGGAGGGCACGCUGAGGUGUACAAAGGACAGCUUGCUGAUGGACAGUUUGUGGCGGUGAAAAGGUUAACAAAAGGCGGCAACAAGGAGGACAGGAUCAGCGAUUUCCUAUCCGAGCUUGGAAUAAUAGCGCACGUCAACCACCCAAACGCGGCACAGCUCUUGGGGUUCAGUGUGGAAGGGGGCUUGCACCUGGUUCUUCAGUUCUCACCACAUGGAAGCUUGGCUUCUCUUCUCCAUGGUGCAAAGGGAGCCCUCAAGUGGAAGGCCCGGUUCAAUAUCGCACUUGGAAUCGCUGAAGGGCUAUUUUAUCUACACGAAGGCUGCCAUCGGCACAUAAUUCACAGAGACAUCAAACCUUCAAAUAUUCUUUUAACUGAAGAUUAUCAACCUCAGAUUUCAGAUUUUGGCCUUGCGAAGUGGCUUCCUGACAAAUGCACCCAUCAGGUUGUAUUCCCCAUUGAAGGCACAUUCGGUUAUAUGGCCCCAGAGUACUUCAUGCACGGGAUCAUAAAUGAGAAGACGGAUGUGUUUGCAUACGGAGUAUUGCUUCUUGAACUAGUGACAGGGCGGAAAGCCGUGGACUCUUCUAGACAGAGCCUGGUGAUAUGGGCAAAACCGCUGCUCGAGUCGAACAACAUGAAGGGGCUGGUGGAUCCUUCUCUUGAUGUUGGAUAUGACCCAGAAGAGAUGGCACUCACCCUGGCAGUGGCGUCCAUGUGCAUCCACCACAGCGCAAACUUGCGGCCUAGCAUGAAAUCGGUGGUCCGUUUCAUGAAGGGAGAUAGGGAAUCACUCGAACUGAUGGGAAAGCCUAGACCCACAAAGCCCCCAAUGUUCGACUCCUGUGAUUCAGAGGACUACACUCGCACGAGUUACCUCAAUGAUCUGGACAAGCACAAGCAGCUUGCGUUGGAGCAGUGA